rnacentral:lncRNA from 1 species
GUAGGAAUAGACACAAGAAUAAGGUAGAAAUGCGUGUGAUAAGAAAACAUAGGAAUUUUGUCAACGGUAUUUGGUUCACAAAACUCGGGAUUAUUAAUAAAAAUGUGGUCAAAUCUAGGAUGCUAUUAUGCAAUUAAAGACCUCUGUAGUAGGAGUUUGGAAAAUGAGGUCCAGAUGGUUUUUGCGGGGAUGUUGUACAUUGCAGAGUAAGUGUGACAGUUGUAGGAACUUGGUCAUUUUAGUUCUACAUGCCUAUUAUUUUCCAUCAUUGCAAAAUAAACCACUCAUACUUUUUAUCUCUUGAUUUAUGAACUGGUUUGGGAGCGAUGCACAUUCUUACCACUCAUGUUCAAGUAUUUAUGGCUUCGGUGCUAAUGAAAUGUGCAGUUCUGUGUUAGUAUUUUAUUUUGUGUUACUUUUACCCUAAAAGUGUAAGAAGGGCCGUGUCUUCAAUUAUUUUUUUGUUUAUAUAGAUGUAGCCGUACCGCUUGGUAGAUAGAAAAGUUAGGAGCAAUAUGCUGUAGGUAUUAGCAUAGCAGAUGUAUGUUUCCAUCGUUUCAUGAGUUGACAGUCACCAUUUUUUCUUGUUAUUACAUGUUGCGUAUAGUUGUAUCUGUUAUACAACUUCCACGUUCAUCAUUGGAAAUAUAGUUGUCUGUUAAACAUCUCUAUGGCCCUUUUGUAUAACCUGACCUUAUAUAAACAGGUGGUCUAGCUGUGAAUAUUUGCUUUUUUCUCUCUUUUAAAGCAUGUUUAAAAUUUUUCCAAUUUCUGUGACAUUAUUUUGCCUCAAAAGCAAAUGAGGUGCAUCGAAUCUGACUAGCAGUUUGAAGUUCAUAUUAACUAUACAGAAGUAUAGGAGGGUAGCUUAAUUAUUUUAUCAUGUUGUGUUGAAAUAUUUAUUUAUGCGAUGAGCCUCACAGAAAGUUAUUAUAUGCAAGCUAGCACGAGGCGUGAUGGUGUUUCCUCCUUCACCUCAAAUAUGUGCAACUAGAUGAGGUAUGCUCAGUCUCAUUGUUGAAUUCCUUUCGGCACGGUUUGCUUUGAUUGUUUGUGAUAGCAUUGUCGAAUUCCUUCCCACUCUGUUUGCUUGAUUGUUUGCAAUGGAUCCAUCAAUAUCAUAGAUGGUUGGGUUUUGACACAAAUUAGGAAGCCUCUACCUUAGAUUCUCCAGACCAAAGUGAUGGAGAGGCCCAACUACAACCAUCUUUGUUUUCUGUAUUGUUUUCACCCCAGUGUACACACUAGAGCUGUUUGCUUCCUUUUACCCAUCUUGUCCGGGCCAAGCUGGGUGGCCCAGCCUAUGCCUGUCUAAUAUAGUUUCUACGAGACGUAUGCUGUUCAAGAUUUCGGUAGUAGGAGUUUGAAAAAUGAGGUCCAGAUGGUUCCUGCAUUUUUUCUUUGAAACUGGUAUCCAAAGAAAUUCCUCCAUUUCCCCCUGCUCUCUAUUCAUUUGAACCAAAUGGAUGAAUAGUGGCACCAAAGGAAAUUCCCCUACCAACAUCUUCUUUGAACCAAAGAGCUCAUAAUUGUAUAUGUUGGACAUGUAUUUUUUGCGGGGAUUUUUUACAUUGCUGAAUGCGCGUGGCAGAUCAUGAUAGAAACUUAGUUGUUUUAGUUCUGCAUGCCUAUUAUUCUCCAUCACCCGUUUUGAAAAAAAAAAUAUUCUCCAUCAUUGCAAAAUAAACUACUCCCUCCGAUCCAUAUUACUUGUCGCGACAAGUAAUAGGAUCGAAGGGAGUACCCAUAUUUUUAUCUCAUGAUUUCUGAACUCGUUUGGGAGUGAUGCACGUUCUUAUCACUCAUGUUUAAGUAUUUAUGGCCUCUGUGUUAAUAAAAUGUGCAGUUCUGUAUUAGUAUUGUAUUUUGUGUUGUUGUUGUAACAUAUUGCAUAUUGUUGUGUCUGUUAUAAAAACAGGAACCAUUGUUGUUCAUCAUUGGAAAUAUAGUUGUGUCUGUUAAACAUUUCUAUUGCCCUGUUGUAACCUGACCUUAUAUAAACAGGAGGUGUAGCUGUGGUUGUAAUAUUUGCUUUUCUCUCCGUUAA